rnacentral:lncRNA from 1 species
UGAGGAAACACUUCUGUUACCACAAAUUAUUUCAGUAGCAAAGAAGAAAUGAAAGAAAGUGAAUGUAAUGCUAGGACUUACUAGGAAAGAAACAUUGUGGCAUUUACAAAAGGUCUGCAGGAAGUCUAUAAUGAAGUUUUUUAUGGAAAGUGGGUGUGAAAGACACUGUAUCAGUGGCGAGAUUCUAGGAGUCUCUGAAAGUGUUUCUUGUGCUGCUGCUAUCAUGUGCUGUUCCCUUUAGAGGAACCUCGUGAGAGCUAACCUGACAAAACUCCCACUGAAGGCUUUGUGUGAACAGAGAAAGCAGGAGUGGUGCCAACAUUUUCUUCUAUCAGACUCCUUUUUAAGAAAAGAGAGAUGUGACUCACUGUAAUCCUAGAUAGAGG